ACAUUCACACGCUAAUACCUAGAUGUCUGGUGGCUUUUGAAGGCUGGGAUAUCUUCUCAGACUGACAGGAGGCUGGGAGACAUGGGACUCUGCCCUGCUCCUGAGAUGGUCGCCCAGCUGCUGCACAUGGCCUUCUGUCUCCUGUGGGCAGGACACAUGGAGGCUGCCAUCAGCCAACAUCCAAGACACAAGCUCACAGAGACAGGAAGACAGGUGAAUUUGAGCUGUCGCCAGAAUGACAACCAUGACUACAUGUACUGGUAUCGACAAGAUCCUGGACAUGGGCUGAGGCUGCUCCAUUAUUCAAAUGCAGAGAGAAGCACUGUAAAAGGAGACAUCCCCGACGGGUACAGCGUGUCCAGACCACGCACGGAGGACUUCUCCCUCACUGUGGACUCAGCCACCUCCUCCCACACAGCUGUGUACUGGUGUGCCAGCAGUUUCUCCACAGUGCUGUGCAGCUGCCUCCUCUCUGCACAGAAAGUGUGA